rnacentral:rRNA from 1 species
AUGAAGAUUUUGUUGGACCACCAUGCAGAUUGUAACAAGGUAUUCAACACUGCCUAUUCACCUCUUAUUGUGGCUCUCAAUGUUGGCUCGCUGAAAUGUGUGAAGCUUCUGAUUAAGGCUGGCGCUGAGGUGAAGGGUGUUGGCACUGUAACCCCCUUAACAAUUGCUGCCAACAAUGGCUUAACUGACUUCUACAAGUGCUUACUGGAGGCUGGUGCAGAUCCUGAUGUUCGUAAUGAUGAUGACUCCAUGAACACCAUGAAUCCAGCUGAUCUCAAGUUAGAAGAAAGCAAGGCAAAUAAGAGAAACGAUUAUGCUACUGCAGUCAAACUUUACUCUAUGGCAGCAGACCGCUGCCUAGAUGAUGCAACACUGUACUCAACUAGGAGCCUUUGCUGGCUUAAGAUGGGUGAAGGAGACCAAGCUUUGAUGGAUGCUGGAAUUUGCAAGAUGAAGCGCCUAGGUUGGGUAAAGGCCUGCUACCUGCAAGGAUCUGUUCAAAUUUUACUGCUGACAGCUUGCAGUCCAGGAUUGGGUUGGAUUCAGCCUCGUCGGGGCAGCCAUCACAGCCAAGAGUAA